GUUUCUUAACAGAGUGACCCACGUAGCAAGGACUGGAAGAGAACACUAUUCAUUCCUGCUUUAAGUGGCCACUAAACAUGCAGAAGGUUUCCUCUGAACCGAGAGUUGAAGGAUAUGGUGCAACAAGCCCGUUUCCUGGCACUGGAAAGUGAGGCCAGAGCUGCAGAAGAGGCAAUGGUGAAGGAAGUGCUGUGGGGCCAUGCUUGGCCCCCUCACGUGGGCCUUCAGCUGGCGCUCUUGAUUCCAGGUCCCAGCCCCUACUACCAUGAAGGUAAGCCGUAAAGUCUGUUGCCAGGGAUUGGGGAGGUUAGUAUUAAAGAAGAUUCUGGAGUACAGAAGCAGGAAGAUAUGCUGUGGAGAUGCUGUUGGCAGAAACAGCUGGCCUUGACGGAGCAAACCAACAGGAGCAGAGGCCACCGAGCGGAGGCUGACGCCCAUGCACAGAGUCACAGCAUAGCAAUACAACUUUCACAUGUGCACAAUAAUAAGGCCAAGCACAAUGGCUCACACCUGUAAUCCUAGCAUUCUGGGAGGCCAAGGCAGGUGGACUGCCUGAGCUCAGGAGUUUGAGGCCACCCUGGGCAACAUGGUG